GAAAAUAAUUUUAAAAUAUAAAAUAUUCUUUAAAAUAUUUUUUAAUUAAAGGCUUUCAUAGAUUGGACCAAUGUGGAUAACAUAUAAAAAAAUCAAUAUGAAAGGAAGUGUCUUCAUUGGGUUAAUUUGAAAUUUACAAUGACUUUGGGCUAAGCUUGGGUGGAACCCAAAUGCACCCAGAUUGCAGCCAUUAUUUUCCAAAUUUUGCUAGCAUUUGCGCAUCACUAGUGCCACCAUGCUUUACUUCCUUUUUCCCAAGAUGUCACUAUUAGUAUUUUAAUAUUAUUUCAAUGUUUUUUUAAAAGAUUAAUAGCUGAUUGCGUAGACCUGUAGAUUAGCCCCUUCUUAACAACUUAGCUGAAAAUCGACUUAAAAUAACUAUUUGCUUGGGUUAUUUUCACAUAUAUACGAUCUUUUAUUGUAGGCUUUGGUGAUCAACACAUACCUCUAAUCAUUUGUUUCUUGAUCCCGUGUUCAUGCUCUAAACUUAAUUUACAAAGUUUUUUCGUAGUUUUUAGAUUAAGUUUGAAUAAAAGUUCAUAUUGAAGGAAAAAAAAGGAUAAGAAAGAAUGUUAUCUAGCUACAAUGUACAUCUAUCUCAAAAUUUAAUUUCAGUUGGCAGGUCGGAUGGAGAUGCUAUGAUAGUUAUUUUGGCAAAUGGUAUUGGAAGCAUACCAAGGGCCCUGAUGGUGGCAAGAGAGAAAUGGUAUUACUGUGUAUAGGGCACAACUGGAGUUGCUCAACGGCUGAAUGAGCACUAGCAGAAAGAAAUCGUCAUCAUGUUUGCAACAUUAACAAGGCAAUCAUUUAUUGAUUUGGGGAUAGUACAAGAUGUCUUUUAUUGAGAAAAAAGGAAUCCAUCAAGUGUGUUGAGAAGGAUCCUAUCAAAGGACAAGCAUGGGUAAUGUCAGAGCUUGUUAGGGGUGGGUUUGAUGUGAGCAUGUGCCAUUGGGUAGGAGAAUUGCUAAGCAAGGGAGACCCCUUCUUAUGCCAACCAAAACCCCUGCCUCUCCUUUCAUGGUAUGGGUAAGACAAGGUGGUAGUGGCAAGGGUAAUCAAAAAAAAAAAAAGCCCUAAGAAACUACUGUAUGGUGUGACCAAACACAAAUAAAGAGAGAGGGAUAGUGGGGAAAAGAUAAGAGGUAAAGAGAGAAGUGAGAUAGAAAUACCAUUUCUUUAGGUGUCCUUGCUUGACUUAUGAUCGACAUGGGAGCAAUGUGGUUGUAGUAUUUGCAUGCAACUUCGCAAUGUCUUGUAUAGAUUUUGUACAAUAUCCUUUUGGUGUGUUUUCUUGUCUUCCUCCUUGAUGAUCUUGUAUUUGGGUGAUCCAUGUACGAAUUAUAUAAAUGAGUUGUGAUCCUCGGGUCAUGAUUAAUUGGUUUAAGAGGUGAAGUUGUAACAUCCUAGUUCCUAGUGGAUUGCUUCCUCGCUUCUUUGUUCUUUUUCCCUAAUAGAGGUUUUUUCAUAUAAAUUUUGUGAGCCCCUUUUGUUGUCGUUUACUCUCUCUAUGAUUCGGUAAUCUCAUAGAUCACACGGAAGAGAAGAUUUCACUUUCCACUACAAUCAGUAUAUUUAUUAAGGAUUUAAACACUGGUGGGAUAAUAGUGCAUCUCACAAUCUCAAGUGUCAGGAUGAGGCAUUGUUGUGAGUGUUGGGAAGGGAUGAGUCAGGAAAUGGAUCAGGACAUGACCGAACAUCGACCUUCUCAAGUGUCGAUAAGUUGGGCAUCCCAUUCCAUGGCCCCAUCCCACAAUAUAUAAAAUCUUGUUAUUGGUGCUAGCAUAAUGGGUCUUUCUAUAUUUUUUGUUGCUUCUG
rnacentral:lncRNA from 1 species